rnacentral:rRNA from 1 species
AUUGAACGCUGGCGGCAUGCUUUACACAUGCAAGUCGAACGGUAGAGGGGCAACCCUUGAGAGUGGCGAACGGGUGAGUAAUGCAUCGGAACGUGCCCAGUAGUGGGGGAUAGCCCGGCGAAAGCCGGAUUAAUACCGCAUGAGACCUGAGGGUGAAAGCGGGGGAUCGCAAGACCUCGCGCUAUUGGAGCGGCCGAUGUCAGAUUAGCUAGUUGGUGGGGUAAAGGCCUACCAAGGCGACGAUCUGUAGCUGGUCUGAGAGGACGACCAGCCACACUGGUACUGAGACACGGCCCAGACUCCUACGGGAGGCAGCAGUGGGGAAUUUUGGACAAUGGGCGAAAGCCUGAUUCAGCCAUGCCGCGUGUCUGAAGAAGGCCUUCGGGUUGUAAAGGACUUUUGUCAGGGAGGAAAUCCCUAGCGCUAAUACCGCUGGGGGAUGACAGUACCUGAAGAAUAAGCACCGGCUAACUACGUGCCAGCCGCCGCGGUAAAAC